UAGGGAAUUUUCGGCAAUGGGGGAAACCCUGACCGAGCAACGCCGCGUGAAGGAAGAAGUAAUUCGUUAUGUAAACUUCUGUCAUAGAGGAAGAACGGUGGAUAUAGGGAAUGAUAUCCAAGUGACGGUACUCUAUAAGAAAGCCACGGCUAACUACGUGCCAGCAGCCGCGGUAAUACGUAGGUGGCGAGCGUUAUCCGGAAUUAUUGGGCGUAAAGAGGGAGCAGGCGGCACUAAGGGUCUGUGGUGAAAGAUCGAAGCUUAACUUCGGUAAGCCAUGGAAACCGUAGAGCUAGAGUGUGUGAGAGGAUCGUGGAAUUCCAUGUGUAGCGGUGAAAUGCGUAGAUAUAUGGAGGAACACCAGUGGCGAAGGCGACGAUCUGGCGCAUAACUGACGCUCAGUCCCGAAAGCGUGGGGAGCAAAUA
rnacentral:rRNA from 1 species